AGAGCGAACGCUGGCGGCAGGCCUAACACAUGCAAGUCGAGCGCCCGUAGCAAUACGGGAGCGGCAGACGGGAUAGUAACACGUGGGAACGCGCCCUUCGGUUCGGAAUAACUCAGGGAAACUUGAGCUAAUACCGAAUACGCCCUUACGGGGAAAGAUUUAUUGCCGAAGGAACGGCCCGCGUCCGAUUAGCUAGUUGGUGAGGUAAUGGCUCACCAAGGCUACGAUCGGUAGCUGGUCUGAGAGGAUGACCAGCAUCACUGGGACUGAGACACGGCCCAGACUCCUACGGGAGGCAGCAGUGGGGAAUAUGGACAAUGGGCGCAAGCCUGAUCCAGCCAUGCCGCGUGGAUGAUGAAGGCCUUAGGGUGUAAAGCACUUUCACACGUGACGAUGAUGACGGUAACGUGAGAAGAAGCCCCGGCUAACUUCGCGCCAGCAGCCGC
rnacentral:rRNA from 1 species